UCAUCUUUUUUAUCAACAAGCAACACAGUUCACUCUGCUAGUGGUUUGGGCUGAAAUGGGCUAAACAAUUUGGAUCUUACGUAAAUUGACUCUGGGCUAGGAAACACAGAUUUCAUAAUCAUGGUGGGCUGGAUUGGCUUGGGGUUGAAGAGGUAGUGGAUUGGGCUCUGGUUUGGUUGGAGUAGUUCCCAACCCGUGGAUACUGAAGGGUUUGCCUCUGGUUCACGACUUCGCACGAGCACGACUGCAUUGCCUGGUAAUCCACCGUGGUGGCGCCACUAGCACGUAGGGAACAGCCAGCAAUCUGCGUCCGCUAGUGGGACGCCCUCUUCCCUGUCCCUGUCCUCAGCCGUGUGGCUCUCCAUCCCCCUGGUGGCGGUCGCUGCUAUUUUCUGCAGUAACCACUAUGGACUCCGGGAGCAAGGCCCUAUAGUUCUUGGGCAUCCAUGACGACGACGCCAGCACGGUCUCUGUCCAAGCACACCGGCUGCAGGAUGUCGUGGUAAACCUGAUCAUCACAGACUACUACAUGCCCGGCAUGACAGGGUAUGAUCUGUUCAAGAAGAUCAAGCUUGGUUUUUGGUCUGCCCUGUCUAUGAUUAGUGAUUUUUGAAGGUGUUCUUCUUGAAACUGAGCUCUGUUAAAACAAAUUAUCUUGCAACCAAUUAUCUGUCUCCGAGAUGGAUUUCACUCAUUGGAGAUGUAACCAAUUAUCUUGUCACCAUGAUCCCCAUCAGCACCGUCUUUCGUGAUCUUCUUGAAGCUGACGUCUGCUAAAACAAACUAUCAUCUUGGACACAUCAACUAUGUCUCACAUACCUCAGAAAGUUCGGGAACUCAGGGUUUAUCUCUUGCCUCUCAUUCAAAAGUAAACCGAAG